rnacentral:rRNA from 1 species
AUUGAACGCUGGCGGCAUGCCUUACACAUGCAAGUCGAACGGCAGCACGGGUGCUUGCACCUGGUGGCGAGUGGCGAACGGGUGAGUAAUACAUCGGAAUGUACCUUGUAGUGGGGGAUAGCUCGGCGAAAGCCGGAUUAAUACCGCAUACGCUCUGAGGAGGAAAGCGGGGGACCUUCGGGCCUCGUGCUACAAGAGCAGCCGAUGUCAGAUUAGCUUGUU